UGGAUAGAGUCUGUUCUAAAUUACUGGGAGUUUCUGGUUAAAAAAAAAAAAAAAAAAAGGUAAAUAGGCACAACCCGAAGAAUUCAGGAUGGUGAUACAUCUAUUAACUGGUGGAUGGAUCAAGAGUUAGAUAAACUCCAAAACAGACUAAAAAGAAUGCCUGGUAUGGUGAAAUAGAGAAAUUAACAGCAAGGGCUGAAGUGAGCCAGGAGAUUUGGAGCUACAUUAGAUGACCAGCUGAAUGUUGGGACAAAGUGUAGAAUCAGGGGCUACAGAAGAACUUUGGAGGCAGGGGAUGAUGAGGGGUUCCAGGGCCAAAUCUGCUUUCACCACAUGUUGCCAGGAAUCAGAUUGAGGGGAUGCAGAGGCCCAAAUCAACUACUGCAGUAUGGCUGGCAAUCUCAGAGAGAUGACGACCUGCCAAAUUCCCGACACACAGGCGGAUGUGGAGUGGACAGCAGUGCCUCUCCAGGGAACAUCCUGAAUAACCUACAUAGACGUGGAAGAAUGGAAACAUCCAGUGACCAGAAAUCCCCAGUUAAUAAACCUCAUGCCAUUUCUGAAGAGUGGUUGAACCUGGGGUUGGCAAUCCUUGUGAAGAUUUGUUUUCCUCU